rnacentral:rRNA from 1 species
AAUUUUGGACAAUGGGGGAAACCCUGAUCCAGCCAUCCCGCGUGUAUGAAGAAGGCCUNCGGGUUNUNAAGUACUUUUGGCAGAGNAGAAAAGGUACCUCCUAAUACGAGGUACUGCUGACGGUAUCUGCAGAAUAAGCACCGGCUCACUACGUGCCAGCAGCCGCGGUAAUACGCAGGGUGCAAGCGUUAAUCGGAAUUACUGGGCGUAAAGCGUGUGCAGGCGGUUCGGAAAGAAAGAUGUGAAAUCCCAAGGCGCAACCUUGGGACUGCAUUUUGAACUGCCAAGCUAGAGUAGGUCAGAGGGGAGUAGAAUUCCACGUGUAGCAGUGAAAUGCGUAGAUAUGUGGAGGAAUACCGAUGGCGAAGGCAGCCCCCUGGGAUAAUACUGACGCUCAGACACGAAAGCGUGGGGAGCAAACA